rnacentral:rRNA from 1 species
CCCUUAGAUGUCCUGGGCCGCACGCGCGUUACACUGAUGCAUUCAACGAGCUUAUAACCUUGGCCGAGAGGCCUGGGCAAUCUUGUUAACGUGCAUCGUGAUAGGGAUAGAUUAUUGAAAUUAUUAAUCUUGAACGAGGAAUUCCUAGUAAACGCACAUCAUCAAUCUGCAUUGAUUACGUCCCUGCCCUUUGUACACACCGCCCGUCGCACCUACCGAUUGGAUGGUCCGGUGAAGCCUCGGGAUUGUGGUUCUUGCCGCUUUAUUGUGGCGUGACCGCGAGAACUUGUCUAAACCUUAUCAUCUAGAGGAAGGUGAAGUCGUAACA